GCGACAAUCAAUAGCCGGGAUUGAGCCGUGUGGCAGAUGGGACAUUCGGGUUUCACCUCCCUGGACGGACGAACUGGAUUUGUGUCCCCGGGAAGGGGGAACGGCAGCGAGGGAAAGGCUGCGGGGGGCUGGGGGAGUCAUUUGAUGCCACUAAUCAUGGCUGUGAUCCGGCACGCCGCGAUGUGUAAUGACAACGCUGAACAGGAAAAAUGGCACUCGGAUCCUCCGCUCUUCCCGCUCUAAUCUAUAUUUUACCACAUCUUUCUACCUAAUGAUACUUAUAAAUGUUAAUAAAUGACUACUUAGGCACUUCCUUUUUUUUUUCUUUUAAUUUAAUUUUUUUUGUGGCAGUGGGUGAUAAAAUAAUUCUGGGUUAAAAUAUCAGAAUGGGAAAAGGAAGUGAGGGGGUCAAGUGUUUCCCUGGUCAUUGGAAGACACUCACAUGGUGGGAAGUUCAGAGAGGCUUUCGCUGCUCAGAACUUGAUGGCCUCUGUGUUAAAAUAACAACUGUUACAAAAAGAAAAAAAGAAACUCUAAAAGAAACAAUUUUAAAAUGAAGUUUCCUCACUGCAGGAAGAAGAUCCUCCUGGCAUGGUGCCCAACACCUUCAGGAUGAAUUAUCGUGCCAUUCCUCACACUCCAACUCAUUUCAUCACAAAAUUAAAGAGAAUCUG
rnacentral:lncRNA from 1 species